AGCCCUGCAUGGAGCUCUGCGCUGCCAGCGUGGAGCCUGCUUGGGACACUCUGUCUCCCUUGCUCUCUGCCCCUUGCUCUCUCUCUCUCUCUCUCUCUCUCAAAAAUAAACAUUAAAAGAAAGAAAAAAAACUAGCAGAGGCUGAAAGUAGUGAAGCACCUCCCUUUCCAAACUGCGUGACAAGAACAGGUGGUGAAAGCCAAGUGGUCAGUUUGUCUCUGCCUUUAAGCCUUAGCUUCCUGCCUAUCCUGUCUUCAUGGUUUGCUCUGAGGCACCAGUAAGCAUGUUAACCUCAUUCAGUCUGCUAUGUGAUAGAGCAGUGGCAAGGAGAGUUUUAAGAUUGCAAAGUGGCCGAAAUGUGAGAAAAUAUAACAAACUGAAAGUAGGAGGGGUGUGUGGAAUCUACAUAUGCAAAUGGAAUGAAUCUUAAAAUAGCGAAGAGGGGUACCUGUGUGGCUCAGUCCGUUAAGCGUCUGACUUUGGCUCAGGUCUGACUUCAGCUCAGAUCAUGAUCUCACAGUUCAUGGGUUCGAGCCUUGCAUCCGACUGCUGUCAGCACAGAGCCUGCUUCAGAUCCUCUGUCCCCUUCUCUCUCUACCCCUUCCCCACUUGUUCUCUCUCUCUCAUUCAAAAAAUAAAUAAACCUUUCAAAAAAAAUAGAAGAAUUAUGGAGAAGAGAGAUUUAUCAUAGAACACAAGCUUAUCAGUGUCCCAUGCCAAGCAAUCAACAGUGAUCACAUGUUUUCUACUUACAAAUAAAUAGACUUAAGAAGGAUCCUUUAGAACAUAAUCUAAUCAUAGAACAGGACCUUUUGUUCUCAUUCUAGAAUGGUGUUUUUUCAAAAUAUAGGUCACACUCACAAGUGUGUCAUAAAAUCAAUUAGUGGGUCAUGCAUAGCAACUUUUCUCUCUGAUAAAGUAGAAGAUAUCAGAUUAUAUCACACAAAGACUUUUUUAGUGGGAAUGAAGAUAGAAGAAAAAGAGUUUAAUGAAAAGACAAACAUGGAUACAAAUUUAUGAUCACACUCACCUU